AUACGGAGGAUGCGAGCGUUAUCCGGAUUUAUUGGGUUUAAAGGGAGCGUAGGUGGACAGUUAAGUCAGUUGUGAAAGUUUGCGGCUCAACCGUAAAAUUGCAGUUGAUACUGGCUGUCUUGAGUACAGUAGAGGUGGGCGGAAUUCGUGGUGUCGCGGUGCAAUGCUUAGAUAUCACGAAGAAAUCCGAUUGCGAAGGCAGCUCACUGGACUGGAACUGACACUGAUGCUCGAAAGUGUGGGUAUCAAACAGGAUUAGAUACCCUGGUAGUCCACACAGUAAACGAUGAAUACUCGCUGUUUGCGAUAUACAGUAAGCGGCCAAGCGAAAGCAUUAAGUAUUCCACCUGGGGAGUACGCCGGCAACGGUGAAACUCAAAGGAAUUGACGGGG
rnacentral:rRNA from 1 species